rnacentral:rRNA from 1 species
UACAGAGGGGGCAAGCGUUGUUCGGAAUUACUGGGUGUAAAGGGCGCGUAGGCGGCCCGCUAAGUCGAACGUGAAAUCCCCGAGCUCAACUCGGGAACUGCGUCCGAUACUGGCGGGCUUGAAUCCGGGAGAGGGAUGCGGAAUUCCAGGUGUAGCGGUGAAAUGCGUAGAUAUCUGGAGGAACACCGGUGGCGAAGGCGGCAUCCUGGACCGGCAUUGACGCUGAGGCGCGAAAGCUAGGGGAGCAAACGGG